UUAUGGCUCAGGAUGAACGCUGGCGGCGUGCCUAACACAUGCAAGUCGAACGGGUUAAGGGAAGUUUCGGAUGGAACUUAACUAGUGGCGGACGGGUGAGUAACGCGUGGAUAACCUGCCUCGCACUGGGGGAUAGCAGCUGGGAACGGCUGGUAAUACCGCAUAAGACCACGGUGCCGCAUGGCACUGGGGUAAAAGAUUUAUCGGUGCGAGAUGGAUCCGCGUCUGAUUAGCCAGUUGGCGGGUAACGGCCCACCAAAGCGACGAUCAGUAGCCGGCCUGAGAGGGUGAACGGCCACAUUGGGACUGAGACACGGCCCAAACUCCUACGGGAGGCAGCAGUGGGGAAUAUUGCACAAUGGGCGCAAGCCUGAUGCAGCAACGCCCGCGUGAGUGAAGAAGUAUUUCGGUAUGUAAAGCUCUAUCGGCAGGGAAGAAAGGCCCGAAAGGGAGAUGACGGUACCUGACUAAGAAGCCCCGGCUAACUACGUGCCAGCAGCGGC
rnacentral:rRNA from 1 species